CAUUCCCUGCGGUGUGCGUGAGAGGCUGGGAGUAUUCUUGAGCCUAUUUAUCACUCUCGGGGACGAUGCGUCUGGCAUUGUGUGCAAGUCCGCUCGACGGAAAGCCUGAUAUGCCAGCCUAUGUUCCCACUUGAACCUAUGGUUCAAGGACGAAGGCCGCCACGGCAUGCGUGGGGAAUGC
rnacentral:other from 1 species